UGGGGAAUAUUGGACAAUGGGCGCAAGCCUGAUCCAGCCAUGCCGCGUGAGUGAUGAAGGCCCUAGGGUAGUAAAGCUCUUUCACCGGUGAAGAUAAUGACGGUAACCGGAGAAGAAGCCCCGGCUAACUUCGAGCCAGCAGCCGCGGUAAUACGAAGGGGGCUAGCGUUGUUCGGAUUUACUGGGCGUAAAGCGCACGUAGGCGGACUUUUAAGUCAGGGGUGAAAUCCCGGGGCUCAACCCCGGAACUGCCUUUGAUACUGGAAGUCUUGAGUAUGGUAGAGGUGAGUGGAAUUCCGAGUGUAGAUGUGAAAUUCGUAGAUAUUCGGAGGAACACCAGUGGCGAAGGCGGCUCACUGGACCAUUACUGACGCUGAGGUGCGAAAGCGUGGGGAGCAAACAGG
rnacentral:rRNA from 1 species